AGAUUGAACGCUGGCGGCGUGCUUAACACAUGCAAGUCGAACGAGAAAGGGACUUCGGUCCUGAGUAGAGUGGCGCACGGGUGAGUAACGCGUAGGUAAUCUACCUCUGCAUCUGGGAUAACACUUCGAAAGGGGUGCUAAUACCGGAUACACUUAUGGAUCGCAAGGUCUAUAAGGAAAGGAGACCUCUCCUUGGAAGUUUCUGUGUAGAGAUGAGCCUGCGUCCCAUUAGCUAGUUGGUAGGGUAAUGGCCUACCAAGGCGACGAUGGGUAGCGGGUCUGAGAGGAUGAUCCGCCACACUGGAACUGAAACACGGACCAGACUCCUACGGGAGGCAGCAGUGAGGAAUAUUGGACAAUGGGCGCAAGCCUGAUCCAGCGACGCCGCGUGAGUGAUGAAGGCCUUUGGGUCGUAAAGCUCUGUCAGCAGGGAAGAACGGCCGUGUGGUUAAUACCCAUGCGGAUUGACGGUACCUGCAGAGGAAGCACCGGCUAACUCCGUGCCAGCAGCCGCGG
rnacentral:rRNA from 1 species